rnacentral:rRNA from 1 species
CGGGUGAGUAACGCGUGGGGAAUCUGCCUUUGANCGGGGGACAACAUUUGGAAACGAAUGCUAAUACCGCAUAAAAACUUUAAACACAAGUUUUAAGUUUGAAAGAUGCAAUUGCAUCACUCAAAGAUGAUCCCGCGUUGUAUUAGCUAGUUGGUGAGGUAAAGGCUCACCAAGGCGAUGAUACAUAGCCGACCUGAGAGGGUGAUCGGCCACAUUGGGACUGAGACACGGCCCAAACUCCUACGGGAGGCAGCAG